CUUCUGCUGCUAAUCUGCAGUGCCAGCUCAGUCCCUCUUGCCAACACUUUCAUCAGGUAAGGCUGCCAGGUGUAUAUGGCUGCUUGUAUCUUCCUAACACAUUGGUAACGCCAGUGCACUACGUGGCCAAUAUGCCUUCCUUCCUCUCCAUGCCACUGGCACCCAUGCGGCAGUGUGUCAGCCAGUCGACUUGGCCAAGGCUCAUAAAAUGCAUGAAUCUGAUGAUCAUAGUCAGCAACCAGCAUGAUGUCUAUAGAGCUAAGUUAGCUAAGUUAUUGGGG
rnacentral:lncRNA from 1 species